rnacentral:tRNA from 1 species
GCGGGUAUAGUUUUAGUGGGUAAAA